GUCUAAAGCACUGUUUGCACACGGGCCUGUGCUGGGCGCGGCCUCUCUCUCUCUCGGCUGAGUGGGCAGCUGUGGGGUGGGGUGGGGAGGCAUCUGUGCUCUGGCCUCUUGGGCAAGCUGCCUUUUCACUGGGCCGGUGAGGGAGGCGAAGGCCUGAGGCCUGUGUGUCUGUGGACUUGAAGGGUGCAGUUGAAGGAAAAUGCCAGGUGUUGGAGUUGGGUGGGUGCACAGAGAGACUGGAGAGGAGAGAAAAAAAAACUCUUGGAAAAAAAUCUAAGGUUCAUUUCGACCUGAAGUCCCUGAGACUCGAGGGAUGGGGAGGCAGCAGGAGGGGGAGAGAAGGGGGAGCCCCAGGUCGAGCCAGCAGGCACCCAGGGAUUUACAGCGAGGCGAUGGUUGGAGGCUGAAAAGCGAGGAGACACGAUUAUUAAUAAUCAAAGAGCUACUGCUGCUGGAGCAGAGAUGAAAGCCUUUCCAGGCCAGUCGGUGAUGCGCCUGGAGCUCUCCCCUGGGCAGCCACCUGCGUUCAGAAACACGUAAAGAAGGAAAUGAACAUGAGCCACAGUCCCCAUCUUCCCGUCCGAACGUAACCAACCACUAUUAGCAUUUCGUUGUCAUCCUCCUGACAUGCUCACAUGGUCGCCUAGGGAUGUACUAGUGACAAAAGUAGAUUCCAUGAUGUUUCGUCUCCGGAAUUUUCACUUAACUUAACAAAGACAUGGAAAGACAGAAAAACACGGCAUGGUGGCAGCUAACGGCUUUCCUGGCGGGACACCCAGCCCUGGGGCUUGUCCAGCACAGGAAUUCUGCUCGUCCUUUCCUGAACUGUGGCAGCCCACCAGGCUCCUCUGUCUGUGGCGAUUCUCCAGGCAAGAAUACUGGAGUGGGUU